CCUACGGGGUGCUGCAGUGGGGAAUAUUGGACAAUGGGCGAAAGCCUGAUCCAGCCAUGCCGCGUGUGUGAAGAAGGCCUUCGGGUUGUAAAGCACUUUCAGUGGGGAAGACACCCUUGGGGCUAAUACCCUCGAGGAAGGACAUCACCCACAGAAGAAGCACCGGCUAACUCCGUGCCAGCAGCCGCGGUAAUACGGAGGGUGCGAGCGUUAAUCGGAAUUACUGGGCGUAAAGCGCGCGUAGGCGGUCUGAUAAGCCGGUUGUGAAAGCCCCGGGCUCAACCUGGGAACGGCAUCCGGAACUGUCAGGCUAGAGUGCAGGAGAGGAAGGUAGAAUUCCCGGUGUAGCGGUGAAAUGCGUAGAGAUCGGGAGGAAUACCAGUGGCGAAGGCGGCCUUCUGGACUGACACUGACGCUGAGGUGCGAAAGCGUGGGUAGCAAACAGGAUUAGAUACCCCGGUAGUC
rnacentral:rRNA from 1 species